CCUCUUUCAAUUCAAGACCGAAGACCUUAUAUCAGGGCUGCUGGUUCGCCAGCUAUGGCAAUAAAUGGUCAGUGAAAUAAACCUAUCGGACCCGGGGGCGGUACCCGGCGCCUCCACCCAAGCCCAUGGGGCUAAGCUUCAGAAACUCCAUGGGUUUCGGCGGGGGCGAAAUAGGAUCGACGAGGGCGUAAAGACUGUGCUUUUGCUCGGCAUUGUACCACCGUUAUCGGGCUUUCUUAAUAGUUGCAAAUGACAACUAUGCUAUGGACAACGCUGUCGCAGCGUAACGCUGCGCCGGUAGUCCACUAAGUCCUUUGAGGUAGCACUCACGGGCGGGGUUCGGAGGCACCUGGCAACAGAAGCCUCCACU
rnacentral:tmRNA from 18 species